CAGCGAUAGCCUCAGUAACGGCGAGUGAAGCGGCUACAGCUCAAAUUUGAAAUCUGGCCUCCUUUGGGGGUCCGAGUUGUAAUUUGCAGAGGAUGCUUUGGCAUUGGCGGCGGUCUAAGUUCCUUGGAACAGGACAUCGCAGAGGGUGAGAAUCCCGUACGUGGGCGCCUGCCUUUGCCGUGUAAAGCUCCUUCGACGAGUCGAGUUGUUUGGGAAUGCAGCUCUAAAUGGGAGGUAAAUUUCUCCUAAAGCUAAAUACCGGCCAGAGACCGAUAGCGCACAAGUAGAGUGAUCGAAAGAUGAAAAGUACUUUGGAAAGAGAGUCAAAUAGCACGUGAAAUUGUUGAAAGGGAAGCGCUUGCAGCCAGACUUGCCCGCAGUUGCUCACCUAGGCUUUCGCCUGGGGCACUCUUCUGCGGGCAGGCCAGCAUCAGUUUGGGCGGUCGGAUAAAGGCCUCUGUCAUGUACCACCCCUCGGGGUGGCCUUAUAGGGGAGGUGUAAUGCGACCAGCCCGGACUGAGGUCCGCGCAUCUGCUAGGAUGCUGGCGUAAUGGCUGUAAGCGGCCCGUCUUGAAACACGGACCAAGGAGUCUAACAUCUAUGCGAGUGUUUGGGUGUCAAGCCCGGGCGCGCAAUGAAAGUGAACGGAGGUGGGAACCCUUCGGGGUGCACCAUCGACCGAUCCUGAAGUCUUCGGAUGGAUUUGAGUAAGAGCAUAGCUGUUGGGACCCGAAAGAUGGUGAACUAUGCUUGAAUAGGGUGAAGCCAGAGGAAACUCUGGUGGAGGCUCGCAGCGGUUCUGACGUGCAAAUCGAUCGUCAAAUUUGGGCAUAGGGGCGAAAGACUA
rnacentral:rRNA from 1 species